CUAGUGUUGAGAUGUCUGUCUGUCAUGAUUGCAUGUACUGAGUCAGGGCCAGUACCAGAUAAGUACAUUAAACUAUAAUCCAUAAACGUAAGGUAACAACCCAGACCUAAUGGUGCUGUGACAGCAACACGAUUGAGUUUGAGACAGUGAAAAUACAUAUGGUAUGUUGUAUCUGAACAGGUUAGCUUACGAGCUAAAGUUACUUAGCACAGAUGAAAGUUAAAACAAAGACGUUUAGCAAACUGUUAAAGCACACAAACUAUCCUUCAGGUCAUUAUCUUUGUAAUGUUUGUGUUUUUUUAUCAAAAAGCACUCUGUUCUCCGACACGUACACAAUCAGCUGGUCAGCCAUGUUGGAUUUACCGGUGAAUCAGACAUUGCAACAACAUGCAAUCUGAUUGGUCAGAAGUGGACACAGAAUAUGCGAAACUUUAGAAAAAUCGACCAUGAUCCGAAAGAUAAAUACCGCAAUAUCGCAGGAAGGGAAAACGUUGAAAAUAACUUUGCUAAGGGGUCUGAAAAGUUGCUAAAUCUAGUGACAAAGUCGCUAGGUUGACAACAAUGGUGUCUUCCCCCCAGUCAGCAGCCUAUUGAAUCUGGCUCUCCUCCCCAAUUGGUUCUACGGACCUGGCCCAUUAACCAAUCAAAACCUGGUCCCUGUAGUAUUAACAUUCUCUCACAGUCACACACACACAGACACUACCAAAACAAGGUAAACACAUUGUGUGAGGGGGUGCGGUUGCAUAAAAACCCCAAUUCUGUGAUGUAAAAAUUGUUAUUUAUUGUGUAAAGAAAUAAUGAAGUGCUGUUUAACAUAAAGUUGAGGUGAGGAACAGAGGGAUGUGGAGUGCUGCUCAAGGAAACAAAUAAACAACAAAAGGCGACUCUAAACUAGAGUAGAAAAAUGUCACUUUCUGAAAUUAGCUCAAUGCCUUUUAGAGGGUCUGAAGAUACAGCUCUGAUGGAUUUUAGAUGUCUGAUGAAGUUUGGUGAAGACUCAGCAUGAAUCUAUUACCAAUGACAAAGAAAACCUGAUUAAAAAUAACCUUUUUUUUUUUUAACAUUGCAUCCUCCCUUUUUUGUCCAAAACACUCCUUUCUGCAGGACCACCUGAGUUGUCAUAUAACAUUUACAUUCUGCUGUGUUUAUAUCUGUCAUGGUUGGUUGGUUAAGUUUUCUUUAUUUUUCGCACGUCAUGUGUUUUCUGUUUUAUUUUGAAAUUACUAACCCCUUCCACGGUCAUGACAGUAUCUCGUUUUUAGCUGAAACACUUUCUACAGAGGCUUUUUAGAAACACACUUGGCCUCUUUAAUAACAGAGAGAUGCUCUCUUAUUCAGACCUCUUUAUCUAAAUUUAAUAACCCCUAAGAUUAAUACCUCCUGUAGAUUAAAAUGAAGAAAAUGUACUAAAAAGCUCCCUGGAUAAUAUACAGGGUUCAUUUUUCACUGCUGCUUCUUUAAACAACAUUCAGAUCUCAGUGGCCUAAAAGGAAAUUAAUAGCUGGACCCCACACUCAGACAAACUGCAUAAUUCUAGUGUAUUUGGAAUAAACAUGUACUCUGAAUGCUGCCAGAGGGUGUUAGCUAUACUGCGUUGCACUGUAUAACAAAGGUGACAUGGCAGAUACCUGGUUAAAACGUAAAAUCUGUGAAUUGAGGAUUUAAUUUUUUCUGAAUCUGUAAUAUUUCACCUCAUGUCCAGCUGAGCGUAAACCUACAGAUACUUUCACCGCCUAUUUAAAAGGAACUAUAGGCUGGAAAUCUUCCAGCUGCAGUAAACAUAACAAAAUAAUCUGAAAGUAUUCAUGGCUGCAGACAUCAUCAGUCUGACUUCUACUCUAGUAAGCCACAUUGUGUUGUAAAGGGUUCAUGACAACAGAGGGUGACAUGGACAUAAAAUGAUGUGUUUAAAAAGAUGCAAAAAGGAACCCAAAAACAGUACGGUGCAGGCUAGAGCACGAGCAUGAUGGUAAAACAGAUGCAAAAUAGAGGCUCAGAACAACCAGUAGAAUACCUUACAACAGAUGCAAAGAGAACCAAAAUACAUCAACAAAACUUGGUACCUAGAAACACUUGUGAGGCAAACUUUAAACUAAACAUUUGCAAAAGUGAAAGCUGAUACAGAAGCAAAAAGAAACCCCAAAACAGACACAGUUUUUUUUCCAUUAAUAAAAUAGACUAAAAUCUGUACUGAAGCCAUGUCAUGAUAUGUAAAAUUAAACACUCCCACUAAUGAAAAGAUUAAGGAUUUUUAUGUUGUGAAUUUGAAUGCCUGAAACCACUGUGAGGCGGUAGAAACAGCCCUGCUUCUACACUGUCUGUUUGAGAUAUAUACAACUGUGCCACAUCUGGCUGUCAAAAGUCAGCAGGAUGAGACUUUUCUCAGAUGACACCAUAUUUACAGGAGAAAAGGAGCAAAGACUGCUUCAUCCACAGGGGGCGCCAAAUGCGUCAUAACGCAAAAAACCCUCACAGGAACUUUAAAACACAAUCGAAAAGAAAAACCUCAAAUCAUCUACCGAAGAAAACCUCAAAACCAACUUUCAGUGAGUUCUUAGAACAGGUGUUUGUUGUUAGCAUAAACAAAGGACAUUACCACAGAAGCUAAAGGGUACCCUAAAACAGACACUAGAGACUAUAAAGACACCUGUGAUAAUGCUUUUAAUGUAAGUACAAGAGCGCCUUUCAGCCUACAGUGAAAAAACAAAGUAUUAAUUUCUGCUAAGGGUACCCUUUUACACAUCUGCAGGAUACCAUCGGCGUGUUUAUGGUCAUCUUCUCAGCCCAGUGUCUGUACUGGGUGGUCACAGUGCUGCAGACAGGCUCCUCUGUGUCCUUCAUACAGGCUGCAGUCUGUGAUUCAGAGAUUUUUAUGACUCAAAUAAAGUUUUCAUGUUCGCAGUAUUCUUGUCACCUUCCUGCCUCCCGGUCGUCAGCGAGUUUUCCAUCGGCCUUUUGUGACACCUCUAAAAAAAAACGUAGAAUAAUGUCGACUUAUCAGUGCAGAAAUCCAAAUGUCACCAGGAAAUUUCAAGGCCGUUUCUCGCCUCGCUUUACUCACUGUUUCCUCAGAUGAGUCAGGAGCCAAUAACAUCAGCUCGCCAUCACUCCGCCCCCGCCCUUCUCUGUUCGCUCGCUGCCUGAUCAAGUUCUGCUGGUCAAAGGUCAGUCUGCUACUCUGCAAUCUGCGUCUCCUGGCAACAAUCCUGGCUAAUGAAUCAGGGCUGACACAGAUUUAAAUGUCACAAAUAUUUCAUUACUGCAGCCUGAAAACAAUCAGACUGAUCAUUAUUGUGAAAUGGCCCCUCAGUGUUUGCUUCAAUCAAACUGAAGGAUGCGUGACUCUGACAGAAAUAAGCUUCUGCACAAUCACUGUGCUCUCCACUCACUAAUGAACCUCAUUUACUCAGGACAAUUAACUUCAAUUGGAUCUGCUUAUUGUUCCCAUGAAUCGAUUUAUUCCUAUUUAAAAAAAAAAAGUGAGAGUAACGUCAGCACACUGGCCUGAAGAGGAUUAUAAUUAAUCUUCAAUUAUGACCAUAAUUUGAGUUUAUUUUAAGAGCAGGUCUUAAAAUGCACCACAGGAAAAUAUUUCAGCGUACGGAUUGUUUUGAUGAAAGCGGCAUGAGGGAAUUCAUACCAAGUAUUGAAUUAAUUUCUUAAAAUUGAGUCAUAUAUUUCGAGAGAUAAUUGUUCUGCCGAAUAUGAUCCCCUCUGGCUCCUCUUCAACUGUCAAGGGAUCCUUUAAAUGUUUUUGCAAGGACAAGGUUUGAUGGUUUGCAAAUCCUGAUAGUGCAAAGACAACAUUUUAGAUUUGAUGCCAUGACAUCGGAAGAAUUUUGCAUCCACAAAUAAGGUUAAAACCAAACUAUGCAGAGAGGAAACCAGAUAGAAAAAUGGACAUCCCGUAAUUUCUUCAAUAAAAUGAUUUAUAACUGAAGGACUGUUGCAGUUUAUUCUCAUUUACACCAAUCAGGAGGACAUUGGAGAGAAUUGUUAAACAGAAAGGUGUAAUAAUCAGAGAGACCUUCAACCGAUGAUCCUAAUCAACUGUUUCUAUUUUCAAACUCUCACUGAAUAAUACUUUUAUUUUGAAGGGGCAGAUUGAUUCAGCCUCAUUCCCUUUCUGAUUUGAGUUUAAUCAUUUGGGCUGAGCUGACUGAGGAUUGCUGUGAUAAACAACAAUAAAAAAUUAAUAUGCUGAAGGGAAAAUUUAAAGACAAAUGAAAUAGUUUCAAGUGUUGUGCCACAAACAUUCAUUCAUUCAUUCUGAGGUCAGAGAAGUAGUCCGCUCAGUACAGCAUCAGGGAAAUUUGCAGGCAACACAUUUUUAACUUGAUGCUGAAUGCAAGGUCAAAACUGUUAUUUGAAUUAGAGACUGUGGCCAUGAUGUAAAUUGGUUUUCCUGAAACAAAAGAUAUUGACAAAUGUACCUCACUUUUAACUUGAGUGAAAUUUGCGCAUCUAUUUCCUCGACAUUGUCCAGCUCUUCCAGGUGGAUCCUAAACUGUUUCCAGGCCAGGUAGGAUAUAUAAGACUUCCCAGGUACCUGGAAAACUUCCAAAGGGAGGUGUUUAGGAGGCUCCUGAUCAAAUGUCUAAACCACCUAAACAAACUCCCCUUGAUGUGGCCCAACUCUUAGCUCUCUCUGGAUGUCUGGAUGCCAUCUCUCCACCACCAACCUCUAUAUAUCUGAUCACCUGGCUGUCACUUUCAACGUCGACCCCCCCCCCUCUGCCUCACAGUGAAAAACGACAAAUUACCUUCAGAAACCUCAAAUCCAUCUCACCACAGGACCUCUCCGCUUCCCUAUCUGCCACCCUCACUGCAUUCCCUCCCUCACCAUCUGCUAAACUUCCUGACCUACUCAGCUACUACAACAACACUCUAUCCUCCUGCCUGGACCAACUCGCACCUCUCAAAACAAAAACAGUUUCAUUCAGACACUUUGCCCCCUGAUAUACUUCAGAACUACACAAAAUGAAAUCCCAUAAACGCCAACUGGAACGUCUAUACCGCAAAACCGGCCUCACUGUCCAUCUCCAAGCCUACACCGACCACCUCCACCUAUACAGAACAGCCCUCAAAUCCGCCCGCUCAUCCUAUUACUCCAACCUCAUCAACUCCGGCUCCAGUAACCAAAAGGCUCUUUUCUCCACCGUCAAAAAACUGCUCCACCCCAUAGACAGUACCUCCAUCACCUUCACCCCGGAAAAAUGCAACACAUUCCUCUCCUCUUUUCAAAACAAAAUCAACGCAAUCUAUAACUCCCUUCCCCCACCCUCCAUUCCCUGCUCCUCCCCUCCUCCCCUCAUCCCAUCCCACCCAUCCCAUCAACACUCUCCUGCUUCUCACCUGUCUCCUCAACUGACGUGACUAAUAUCAUCUGCUCCAUGUCUUCAUCCACCUGUAUCCUGGAUCCCAUCCCAUCCUCCCUCAUCAAGCACUGCCUCCCCGUCAUCUCCCCCAUCAUAACACAGAUCAUCAACUCCUCCCUCAACUCCACCACUGUUCCCCCAUCACUCAAACUGGCUGCUGUCACCCCCAUCCUCAAAAAACCUGGACUCAACCCCGAUGACAUCAGUAACUUCCGGCCCAUCUCCAACCUCCCUUUCCUGUCAAAAAUCCUCGAACGUGUCAUCACAUCACAAAUCAAAACCCACCUCAACAAUAACAACCUAUAUGAACAGUUCCAAUCUGGAUUCCGCACCCACCACAGCACCGAAACUGCCCUCAUCAAAGUGACAAACGACCUCCUCAUUUCUGCUGACUCUGGCCAACUCUCCAUCCUCAUCCUUCUCGACCUCUACGCUGCUUUCGACACCAUCAACCAUGCCAUCCUUCUGUCCCGCCUACACUCCCUCCUCAAUAUUACAGACACCGCUCUUAACUGGAUCCACUCUUACCUCACAAACCGGAAUCACUUCAUCCAUAUUAACAACUGCUCCUCCACAACCGCCCCCGUGUCCCAAGGUGUCCCCCAGGGCUCGGUGCUUGGUCCCCUCCUCUUCAUCAGCUACCUCCUCCCUCUUGGCCACAUCCUCCGUCAACACAACCUCCACUUCCACUGCUAUGCUGAUGACAUUCAAUUAUAUAUCUCUUCCAACUCCAUCAGCCCCCAGACCCAACGCUCCCUCUCAAACUGUCUCUCUGACAUCAAACACUGGAUGGACAGCAAUCUUCUUAAGCUCAAUUAUGACAAAACAGAUCUCAUCAUCAUUGGCCCAAAGUCCCUCACCUCCACAGUCACAAACUUUCAUCUCUCCAUCGACAACUCCAUCCUCUCCCCCUCCUCCCACUGUCGCAACCUUGGCAUUCUCUUCGAUAGCAACCUCUCCUUCACCCACCACAUAAAGCAAAUCACUAAAACAGCCUACUUCCACCUCAAAAACAUUGCCCGCCUCCGCCCCUCCCUCUCCUACCCUGCAGCUGAAACCCUUAUACAUGCAUUCAUUUCAUCUCGUCUAGAUUACUGUAACAGUCUCUUUUAUGGCACCACCUCCACUCUCCUCAAUAAACUUCAGCUUAUCCAGAACUCAGCCUCCCGCCUCCUCACCCACACACGCUCCCAUCAACACAUCACCCCCGUCCUCCAAAACCUUCACUGGCUCCCCAUACCCCACCACAUUUAAUACAAAAUCCUCCUCCUCACCCACAAAGCACUCCACAACCUCGCCCCCCCCCCCACCUACAGGAUCUUCUCCACCCCUACAUCCCCUCCCGCACCCUCCGCUCCGCCAAUGCCAACCUCCUCACAGUUCCCCUGACCAAGCACCGAACCUGGGGGGACAGAGCCUUCUCAGCCGCCGCCCCCACCCUCUGGAACUCACUCCCACUCGAACUCAGAAACUGCACUGACCUCACCAGAUUCAAAACCCUUCUCAAAACCCACCUCUUCCACACUGCCUUUCAUCCUUCCUAGCCCCCCCCCCCCAUUGGAUUUUACCUGAUUCUACAUGUUUUUAUUGACAUUGUCGUAAAUUUUAUUACUUAUUGAUGUGUGUUUUAUUGUUAUUUGGAUUUUACCUGAUUCUACAUGUUUUUAUUAUAUUGCCGUAAAUUUUAUUACUUAUUGAUGUGUGUUUUUAUUGCCUAAUUCUGUACAGCGUCUUUGUGUUUUUGAAAAGCGCUUUAUAAAUAAAAUGUAUUAUUAUUAUUAUUAUUAUGUCUGAGCUCCUAUUACUGUCUCUAAAGCUCAUAGAAUACUCUUUUAGGCCACUGGUAUCCAUCAUCUUAUUCCAUGGUUAAAACCCAAAGAUCUUGACCAUAAGUGAGGACUGGAUUGACUGGUAAAGAGAAAGCUUUUCCUCCAGGUUCUUCUUUGUCUGGGUUCAGGAAUGAAUCCCACAACCAGUCUAUCGCCAAGGACCAUCGCCACUAGGCAUUGGGAACGCCGACUUCACUGCAUGCAAACAGUGAUUUUCUCCAACUGAACUGAAGCUACUGUAUCUCAGUUAUUUACUUUAAGCCUACAUAUGAAUAUUAUAAUAUUCAGUUUUGUAAGCCAAAUUUAUUUUAUCUGCCAACAUCUAUGGAAAAAAAAAGAGCCAGGCAUCAUUUACGUACAGAUGAUUCCGAUUUUAAUGCCAUUAUUGGAAUUUAUGUUAUGAUCUGUGCACACAACCCACCUUUGUCACGUGAGGUUUAAAUAUAUGCAACUUUAUGUGAGUGUCUUUAUUUGUGGAAAAGGGUGUUUGUCUUACCAGUGGGUCCAACAUUACACACACCAAAUCCAUCUGUGCUCAUAUGGGAGAGUGUGGAGGAUGCCCUCUGCAGCGCUUACAGUGACACUUGUUAAGGAGCUGCCUUCUGUCGCCAUUGUGUGGCAUUGCUGUCUUCAGACAUCUCUUGAUCUCUUUGACUACUUCACGAAAAUUGUAAUACGCCUCGCUGGUGGCGGAUUUAAAGAUGAGGAGAGGAGCUGAUAUGAUUGGCGAAAACAGGUCUCGGCUGUGUUAAACCCACUCCGCGCCUUAUCCUCCCCCUCUCUAUGACUUACACUGCUUGGAGGAGCUGAGUUAGGGAGAGGGGAUGCUUACGCCGGGCUGCGCCGCUCACCAAAAUGUGCUUGGGCACACCUUGUCGGUGCGGUGUACCUGACUUACGCCGCGCCUACGCCACGCUGCCGGCGAGGCACGAAAAUAGAGCCCAAAGUAUUGGACCCUUUGUCUUAGAUACGUAGCAACACAGCAUUUAUUUUUAAAAUUAGACAUGGAGCAGGUUUAAAAAAUAGUCAAGAAAAUCCAGAACUGAAGCUGAACUAACCUUAGAGUUAAAUUGCAGUUAUUGGUUAAAGUAGGGUAUUUUAUUUGAUUAUGAAGCUUGCUCAUUCCUAGAAUCCAGCCUUUUUUUUCACCUCUAGUCCACACUCUGCCUCACCUUCAAAUCCCUGCAGGUUAUGGAUUCUGAGGUUGUUUUUGGCUCAGAGUUUUAUACCACAGGGUCCUCAGAAAAUUUCCCACUGAGGCUAAAAAAAGUAAAUGACAACAUUAUUUAACCUCUCAUUUUUCCACUUUCAGUGUUUUUUAACAUGGGAAUCUUAAAUCAUUGGACAUUUUGUGCUUGAUAGGGAGCUCGACACCAGGUUUAAAUGUAAAGAUAAAAAGCUGGAGGGGUUGGAGUUCUUCACUGGCUGCCUCCAUCAGUUUUAUCAUCCUCUCCUCAUUUAGCAGACUGAUGCUAUCAAACAGGUCAGGUUUAUCUUUCUAAAGUAUUUCUGUGAGGCUUCCUGCAGAUUAAAUCAGACUUUAUCUCAGAGCACAGCAGGGCUGGAUCUACAGGUGCAUUUACAGAAGGGAGGGAAGGUGCUGGAAAUAUGUGUUUAAACACUGUUAGGAAAAAAUGAGAUUUAAAUCAUAAUUUAGAGCCUGAUUUAGAGUCAUACUGUAAGUAGAGCUGAAUUCUUCUUAGCCGAUCUGACUUCAAAUCUGCAUCUACUGUUGUCCGUCUCUUUUAUUAUCGGCUUACGUUCAUGAUUGCAUUCAUCUUCUUCCUGUUGACAGUUCAACAUGCAGCUGCUGGUCAAAGAGAAACAUGCAUGUGUGUGUAGAAAAUAAUCUGUGGGUGAGGUAUGUCCUCUUAGAUCUGACACAGUUUGCUGGGAUUAUAUUUCAACUGCAAAUUGCGAUGAACGCAAUUCAUUUCUCUGACGUAUUAUUAUUCACGCUGCCAUGAAUUAUAAAUGAUGUUUUGUGCGAAUUGGCGGUUUGCUCUGAAAGUUCUCAGAAGGUCAGCUUGAGAUGAGCUGAAGAUUAAAUAAUUAAAACACAAGUUAAACUCAGGGUGAAUGAUGUUGACAGACAAAAAGUGGAUGAAAAAUAAACUUCUGGGUGUGAAAAUUGAUCAUAAACUUAGUUGGAAAUCCAUCAUAGACUCUUCAUCAAGCUCUUAUAGCUCCAUAUAUGACAUACUGUUUAAGCUCAUACUCGGAGAAGGGGAGGGGAGGGGCUCAUUCAUUGAACGAACUCGCUGCUGUGUCACUCACUGGUGUAGCACUAACUUAUUCAGUGAACGAAUCUUUUGCAUGAAUCGUUUUAAUGAACGGAUUCUAAAAAUUCAGUACAGGCAAAAGAAAUGUUCUUCCCAUCAUUACUGGGCAGGUAAAGUGAAAGCAGAAAAACUAUUAAAAUCAUCUAAAUAUGCGAUAAAAAAAACAUGAUUACAGAAGCGUACUAGGGCCACUUGAAGAGAUUUUUUUCCCUUAAUUUUCGAGAAAAAAAGUAAAAAAUUUCAAGAAAAAAGUCGAAAAUUUCGAAAAAGGUGGAAAAUUUCGAGAAAAAACUUGAACAUGAAGCCUCUUGAAGCAUUGAUAGGCUGUAUCGGCUGAGUGAGAUCGUGUUAGUUCGUUCCACUUUAGUGGGGCAACAUAAACUGUGAUUCAUAAAAUAGCUCUAUUCGUAGUAAGUACUAAAAAAAAAAAUUUCUACUCAUGCCAUCCCGUCGAUUUUUAGUAAUCAGUGUUUCGGUGUCGAACUCUUUCCUUUCUGCGGCGUAGUGAUACUUGCACACGCGCAAUCGAAUAUGCUGAGGGGUAACGCAAUUUUUGUCACGUGGACCAAUAGGAGCCGAGUCUCGUUGCCAUAGUAUCAGAAAUACACAAAUAUGGCGACGAGCGCAUCUAGCAGCGAGACAAGCGAAGAGGAAGAAAAGAACAGGAGGAAAAGAAAACAGCCUUCAAAAGUGCAUCAAAAAGGAACGAAACAAUGUUAUAUGCAUCUAUCAUCUGUCCAGCGUGAAGACAUUCUCGACUUUACAAGGACACGUUGGGAAACUUACAGAACUAGUAUUAGAAAGUGGCUUUCUCUACAGAAAGAGACAAAAGACCUUGCAGAAACUUAUUAACAUUGCGUUGAUAUCGACUUUGACAAUGUUCCUGAUGACGCUGGGUUUCACGACAUGGUACCAGCAAUAUAUUUGCAAAAGGCGUUUGAGAAACAAGAACGUGAUGCAGCCGCAGGUCAGUUGAACCCUUCAGGCAGCAUCGCCGAUGCAUCCACGUCCACGGCAUCUGAAACUGCGCGAAAGAAACUUUCGCCUAGAAAGUGAAUUUCAUUCCACUACGCUGGUGCUACUUCUUCAAUGCAUUUUUGCAUAGACAAUACCACUCUGGACUUUGGGUUAAAAUAUCUACUCAGACUAUCUGUCCGACUUUUGUCACCAGCCAGAAAUGUACAUAUAUGUGAGUAACACAAAAAACAAUUAUGUGGUGCUGCUGUUUUUGCUUGUAGAAACUAACUAACUAACUAACUAACUAAUGUACUUAACUCAUUAACUUAUUUUGGUAUUUUUUAUGCUCUUCUUAAUUUGACUAUUGUUAUUCCUAUUUAAUUUGUGUAAAUGCUUUAGUCACAUUGUCAUUGUUCGGUUUUCGCUGAUAAAGCUCCAUGAAUUGAUUUGAUCAGAGUUAAAAUCUACCAUGGAAGUUUAUGAGCAGCAAAUGGCAGUACAGAAACCCAUCCAUUGUUCAUACUCCCCGUGGAAACAACAUCCCUGCUCCACUACAUUAGUCCUAAAGUGUUGGUAUUGACAUGCAUUUGCAUCCACGCACAGCAGGGUCUGGAACUGUGUGCACUCUCUCAGAGAAACUCAUCUGGGUUCAGCAUUUCAUGAUAUCCCGGGAGUUUCCAUCUUGUCUGUGUGAGCUAAUCACGAGACAAUCGAACAUUGUCUUUGUCGAUACAUGCUGCAGGCUCCUGUGUAUAUAUUUAUACAGUAUAUAUUUAUCUGCCUGUAACUCAAUCUAGAAGUUUUCUGCAGCCGAACGGGUGGGUUUAACUAAAACAAUAUUUUUAGAUUCAGAGCUGCAUGCAUAUUUCAUGCGCAGCAGCAGAGUAUCAAUCUCUGCCACACGGCAUCAACAGAGGGGAUAUUGAUUCGCUUUAUUUUCUCAUCUCACAAAUGUACCACAGGGCCCAGGUGUGUUAGUGUGUAUAACAGUGUGUAUAUGUGUGUGUGUGUGUGUGUGUGUGUGGCCCCCUGCUGUCACCUUUCUGCACGAUAAAAAAAAAAAAAAAGUCUCCAUGAAUAAUUCUAUAGAUUUUCUCCCAGCUUGUUUUCAUUGCAGCUGAUUUCAGAGACAUGUAUUUCUAUUGCACGCACACAAACGCAGCCUCGGCAGACACACACACACACACACACAGCUGGUUGUGUCAGCGGCGAACAUGAGCUCCAUGUAAAGUCGUGUUAAUACAACGUGGAGAUGAAGACGCAGAGGAAGAAGAGCUGUCAUCACCCCCCACAGGCCUCCAUUCACAGCUCAAUAACAGAGUCAUUUUCUGCAGCCGUACCUGAGUUUAUCUCUACCAGACACACACACAAUUCACAUAGGUGUUUUCUUAUGCUCCUGCAUGUGUGUGUGUGUGUGUGUGUGUGUGUUUUAUUAAAGUGUGUAUGAUUGCAUGUCUUGUGGAAUAAUGUGCACAACAUGUUAUCUGUUUUUUCACCUGUGUCUCUGGGAGCUGGAGGCUAAAAUAACGUGUGUUUAUUUUGAAUAAAAGACCAUUCAACUGUGUGUUGUUGUUUUUGUUUUUUUUAAUUUUCACAAAAUAAUAGAGUUUUCUGCCGUUAAUCCAUCAGACAGAUAAACAAACUGAACAAAGUUUAAAGUUUGAGCCUGUUUCUCCGGUAGGAUCUCAUUUGGGCUCCUGUUGGUCACUGUAAUAGAGUGUCAGGUUUAGUGUUCCUCCAAAUCAAACCAGAUUUCACCACUGCAGAUUGAGCACAUUUGUACUAAUGAAGGCUAAAUCACUCUCUCUACAGUCUGUAGUCUACUGCCAGGAUGCAGCUGUAACUUUGUUAAUGAAACUACAAACCUCAUUGUCUGUUCCCCGCCUUUGUAUCCGUGUAAUCAUCAAACUAAAUCAUCGGCUCUCACUCUGUGAUGCUAAAUGACGGCAGAUCUGUUUCUUGUAUUUUCUGCCAUCAGUGAUUUGGAGUUUGCAUUCAUCUACCAGGUCUGAUUUAUGAACAGAGUCACUCUAAGAGAAGCAGACUUUUAUCUCAGAGUGUUCCUCCUCUUACACAGUCUUUGGUGAAAUCCCCUCCGGGCAUAAGGAGAGUAAAGAUGUCAGCUCUUCCUGCUAAAACCUGACACUACAAAGCAGAAAAGAAAGCAGGGCGAGACUCAGCUCAUUUACCUGAGUAUAUGUAAAAAAUAUAUAUAUAUAUCUACUUUUGUUUUUCUAGAUUUCAUGGAUAAAUAUUUUGUAUUUCACCUCUCUGCAUAUCUCAGAGCUUUAUUACACUCAUACAUCAUUGCUGAAAGGAGAAAAUCUUCAAACUCCAGCUGUCAGCUCUGCAGAAACCCUGAAAAACAGCCUUGUUUUAUCACAACAGUGCAGUUUUGAUACAGAAAUGAGAACUUUAUUUAUUUCUUUUUAUUUCUCCCCAGAAUUGUAAUGUGCUUUCUUGCCCCUUAACAACCUUUGAAUGCUGUUUACAUCUAAAGGCUUCCUUAAUAUCACUGAUACAUAAAGAUGGUUUUGUCUGGCGCAGGAGCAACACAGUCUGUGUAGAGAAAACAGGCUCCCAAAACUUUUAAUAAGGGUGUCUGCAUUGUGAUACUUUCACCUAAAUGUAAGCAAUUUAGUAUGAAUAUUCAUCACAGUUUAUAAAACCUCUUCAAACCAGUGACCAAAACCAAAACAAAAAGUACAUAAGUGCAAUUUGGCAGGUGAACCCACUACGCCAAGACCUACAAACAUUUGCACCUCUUUCUAAAGCCUGACAGGUAAUCAGUUAUUCUGAUGUCUUUGAAAGAUUAUUGUCUGCACUUGAACUGCUUUAAAGCUUUUUCCUUAGAUCCUCAUCAAACAUAGGCCGCUUUCACACCAGAGCUGUUUGGUCCGCUUUAAACGGACCACAGUUUGUUUCCUCGAAUAGUCCACUUUGUAUGGGCAAGUGUGAAAACUCAUCCGAACUCUGGUGCGGACCAAACAAGCGAUCUCUGGUCUGCCUGAAAACGUGGGUCUUGGUUCGCUUGCAAGUGAACCCUGGUUUGGUUCAGUUGCUAGCUAGCUUCGCUCAAUUGUCUGAACAACAAUAAUCCAUAAAUUCACAAUUUGUCCAAUCGACAAGCGCCCCUUUAAGCCUCGUAAUGCUGCUCGGAAAGUUCGGUGCACUUUAGUGUAAUUCACAGUAUGAAAGCAGAACCGAAACAAGUGAUAAAUGCAACUAUGUUGCGACUUUCAGCUCCCCAAUCGAACCGAGUCCACUUGGUCAGGUGUGAAAGUGACCAUAGUCAUUAUGUUUGGCAUGCAAUUAGGAUGAAAAUCUAUUAAAAUCCUGAGCUGGUAUCAAAAAGUUUAGCUGUGGUAAGAUGCAAAAAAUUUGUGUCAGGAAAACAAAAAAAUUGCAAUGUUCAAUCUGCUCCAGAUUUAACGUGUAUGAUGGCAGUCCUGGUCCAAGCUUGGCAAUAUGCUAAGUGAGAGUCCCAUUUGUACUUCGUGAUGGGAAUCCCUUUUGAUAACUCUUUUACAGUGUUCAGUCUGCUCUAGAGUCUCCAUGUAUGCUGGCAAUCCUGACUCAGACUUAAUCUACUGAGGAAGCCUGCUGUAAAGUACUAGUAUCAACUCUUAGAUACAAUGUUCAGUCUGCUCCAGAUUUCCCAAAUUCAGUCCUUUAUACCAUUUAGUAUAACUUGCAGGAACAAGCCAGUACUGAAAUGCAUGCAAAAUAUUCAAUAUACUCCCAUGUUGUUUGCUUGUUGAUAGCUGUGUGUGCUCAGCGUCCUCUGCUGUGACUGUAACACUCCCUAUUUUGUGCAAAGAUAUAAGAGCUGGCUGAAUGCUGUUUGCAGCUUUAAUUUUCUUUCGGCUUUGUCAGAGUUGGAUUUUAUCACUGGUUUGGCAACAUGUUUGUGAAAUUCAAACCGAAUUGAAAAAAUGUUGUCUGACUCUGUUUUUUAUUUGUUUUGUUUGUCACCCAACUGUGUUGAAUUACUAUACAAAGCUGCAAGAAUCUGCAGACUAUAAAUCAUAUUUCUCACAGUUUUGAGUAGUAUUGUACAGAAAUCUGUAACAGUCAAAAAAGAUCUGAGUCCAUCAGACACGGGAGGCUCCCAUCUCAUCAUAUUUCGAAACGCAGGGCCUCUGAUUGGAUGUUGGUACCCUGCAUGUUUUCAUCAGACUGAUCAUUUUAACCUGCAUGUUUAAUGCAGCAUUUUUACACCACACACACUGAUGAUUAAAGAUGACAAGUGUGUCAUCAGAUUAUGUGAGCUGUCACUCCUGGCUGAAGGUCAGACCUAACACUGAAUUAUUAUGGUUUUAUGCUUUAAUAGAGUCCAGCUGUGAUUAUUAAUAAUGACUGUGAUAAUAGACUAUCUUGUAAGAAGCCCCUCCCUUCCUUUUAAAGUAUGUCCUGUAAUUAGUUUCUUACUGUGUGAGUGAUUGUUGGCUUAAUAACACUGUGAUGGACGGUUUAAAGAGGUCACUCUCACUGAUGAAGUUAUGAGGAGGAUAUUUAAUUCCUGUCAUGUUCACUGUUGAUUAGAUUUAAUGCAUAACGUCUGCAGAAUGUAAGCGACAGUCAUCCCUAUCUUUCAAACUUGAAGUGUGCACAAACAGACUGCGCGGAGUGUAAUCCAGCCAGAUAAAAAUGAACCUGAGCAUAAUCAAGCUAUUUCAGGCCACAUUACAAGGCGAUCACAUCCCUGCUCGCACUUAGCUUUCAUGAUAGAGGCGGAAUAAUCAGCUGCUGCAGAUAAAGGCGAGGUAAUCUAUCAUCGGACUUGCAGGGCGCCGAGGGUUUCAGAGCCACAGGGGAGCCAAAGCCCCUUCUACUCCGAGAGGACGAUCCAUCAUUUAGCAUGCUAACAAGGCGAGGGGUUUUAACAUGAGAGAUAACGCAGGUGCGGCGUUAUCGGGCAUGCUCAGAGACCUCUGCAGCGCUGACGGGGGAAGCUGCCUUAUCUCUGUCCGAGAGAAAACUGACCUUCUGACAUGGAGAGAGAGGAGCUAAAAUAAAGUGUUUAACAUCCAAAAACAUCCAGCGGUUAAUAAUCGCAAAGAUUAAAGGGCAAAGUCGGAGUAUUACUUCUGUCUGACCACAAGAAUUGAAGUAUUAUACUCAAAGUAAAGCACUGGAAGCUUUUAACCAGAGUAGGGUGAGAUUGUCCCUCAGCGGUCAAUACUCUCUGCACUCAUACUCAACAUUUCACAUGAUCUAUAAAGCUCUCUGCUGAGACUCUUAAAGCUAUAAAAUCUGUCUAAAGGGGUGUUUUCUCUUUGAUUCACAGAGUCUGACCUUGAGUUCAUAACAACCUAUGUGGUGUUUAGGGGAGGGGUCAUUUUGCAUUUUGUGAGUGGCAAAAUAUUCAAAGUCCAUUUCGCAGGUGCUGCUUUUAUGACAAGUGUUUAAAGUCAGGAAACAUUGUUGUGAUUGACAUGAAGGCAAAUAAUAGUGAGGAAUUUCAGGCAUUUAUGAUGAAUGUCGAGGCUGAAAGUGUUUUACAAUGAGGACAAUAAAUGAAGAGGAAAACAGUCAUUAUUGGUAUAAAGAAGUAGACAGAGUGCUUUAAAGGUAGAACAGAGAAUAAAACCAAAUGAACACAGAUUAAAAUUAGAGACAGACAACAGUUUACCAUCAGCUCAAAAAAAAAAAAAAGUUUUUCACACACACUGUAUAAAACAUUGUUGAGUCUCUGUAAUGCUAUCCAUUGGUUUAAAGGGUAGUCAGUCACCAUGAAAAAUAAAAUAAAAUAAAAUAAAAUAAAAUUUAAUUUUAUUUAAUUUAACAACAAUAAUAAUAAUAGUAGUAAUAAUAAUAAUAAUAGUAAUAAUAAUUAUGAUGAUAAUAAUAAUAAUAAUAAUAAUAAUAAUAAAAAUAAUAAUAAUAAUAAUAAUAAUAAUAAUAAUAAUAAUAAUAAUAAUAAUGAAGAAGAAGAAGAAGAAGAAGAAGAAGAAGAAGAAGAAUGAUAAUAGCUGUAUUUUUAAGGCAUCUUUAAAAACAGAUGUUUACAAAAUGUUUUAACAGAAGACGCAAACAAAUAUCUAAGUUCUACCCCAACCUGACCGGUUACUUAUCUAGAAACAGGCAAAGACAGCUGUCAGGUUACUCAGUUAAUAACUCUUAAGGCAGUGGUUCUCAAGUCCAGUCCUCGAGGCCCGCUGUCCUGCAUGUUUUGGAUGCUUCCCUGCUCCAACACACCUGAUUCAAAUGAUCAGCUCGUUAUCAAGCUCUGUUAUGGCUUACUAACGAGCUGAUCAUUUGAAUCAGGUGUGUUGGAGCAGGGAAGCAUCCAAAACAUGCAGGACAGUGGGCCUCGAGGACUGGACUUGAGAACCACUGAUCUAAAGUCAUAACACACUGGCGAAUUAGCGGAGCAAUGCGAAAAAGCGACACGAAAAUGCGAAAUAUUCGACUUACGCUUUUUCCAAAACACACCUGGUGCGACGCGAAUAAAAUUCACAUAAAAAUACGCCACGGGGGGAGAACAGAGAGGGCGAGAGAAGAAGGAGAAACAACGGCGACUACAUCCUCGAGCGAUGAUGACCUGAUCGUGGUUGUAAGCCUAUUAAAUAACAAAAAGAAAAAGAAGAACCAAAGUGUCUGGGUACAUCCAAUACUGAUCUUGCGACAGGAGAUGGGGGAGCUACACAAAAAUCUAGGAGCUCAAAUUGUAUCCCAAGAAAUUCCAACAACACUUCUGAAUGUCCCUCAGACAAUUUCAAGAACUGCUUUAUCAGGUGACUCCAAGUUUGCAGAGGGAGCGGACGAAUUAUAGAGAGCUGAUAUGUCUGAGGUAAGAUUUAUGCAAGGCUAUAGAUUAAAAGCAAAUGUUCGCAAGUCUCUUUUCCGCUCUGCGGAAGUUCGUAGCUGGUGUGGAAGCUUGCACUGACAUUGUGAGGUUUAGUAAAAGGAAAUUAUUCGCUUUGCUAAUUCGCCCCCGGUGUGUAAUGACCUUUAGCCUUUCUGUUUAUAUCAUAAAGAAACAAAUCCCUCUGCAGAAAUCAUCAAUCAGGUCCAAGAUCAUUUCUGUACAAGCCUGGAAAUGUGGUUCAGCGCGGACAACUUAAAUGAAAGGGAAUUCAUUAUUUUCAUGCCAAAGCUUAAGUAAAGUGAAAGUUCAGUUUGAGGAGGACAAAGUAUAGAUUUUCUAAAGUGUCUCUUUGCAUAAAAGACCUCAGAACAAGCAAAGAUGUCUUGGUUUCUAUCCCUGUGCUAUAAUAAGAGGACGUUCUGUUCAGAAAAUGAGGCGAACAUUAUAUUUGAAGGGCAUGUUUUCGUGCUUUGCCAAGUGCGAUUAGGUUUCUCCUUCCUCCAAUCAAUGCGUUCAAAAAUGUUCUACUUUGUUUUCUUUUUCGAUGGACCAAGUUUUCUAGGACUCCACCGCGGAAAAGAUACUCCCCCCUUCCCCCGUUGUCUUCCUGUCCUUCCCCUCGCCACUGAAGGACAGAACAGAGGAGCAGAUACUGUGCCGCAACCUGAUCUAUAUUCUGGACCGGCUGUGGACUAUAUAAAGAAAAGUGACGGGUCUUUGUAAGUCUACCUGCCCCACUUUUUCUCCCCAAACUUCCUGAAACUUCCACUCCAAACAAGCCGUAGAUAAGACGCCGGUUUGAGGAGGUGAAGGAGUAUGUGCACAAACACUGCAGCCUCCUCUCAAUGCCUCCUCAAUCACUCACACACCUCCUGUCCCUCCACCCCUCUAUCUGCUUCACUGAUACUGCAGUUCAUUUCUCACGCUGCACUUGUUUGAUAUCACUGUGUGUACAACCAGAUGGAACAUUUUCAAAAUGCAGUGCUCUCUACUAUUUCAAUAAACACACACACACACACACACACACACACACACACACACACACACACACACACACAAACUUUGGAUGGAUGUGAAGUCUGUGAGGAGAUUUUCUUUUUUUUUUUUUUUUUUUUUUUACGUUAGUUCAAGGAAAAGAACAUGAAACACUCCCUCAAAAUCCUCUGACUUUAGACUAUUCCACAAAUACAAAGUACUGUCGUUUUACUGACUGUAAAGCUACUAUAAUGACAUUAACAGGAUGUCUGUAUUUAAAUCUUAUGUAUGAAUUUAUGUCUGUUUAUUAUGAGCAUUAUCUGUGUACUGAUAUGGCACUGGAAUGGACUUUGUUGAAAACCACAGUAUCCCUCGGUUACAAAAUACUUCUCCAGUCUAAUCAAGUCCAAUCCAAACCAAUCCAGCCUGGUCCAAUCUGGCGAGUCGAAUGCAGUCCAAUCCACUUCAGUCCAAACCAAUCCUCUAAGGCCAAUUCAAUGCAGUCCAGUUCACCCAAAUUCAAUGAAAUUCAGUCCAGUCCAGUCCAGCCCUGUUUGAAUCAAUACAGUCCAAUCAAACACCAUGUACUUCAGUCUGACCCAGUCCAGUCCAGGCCAAUUCAUUUAUCAAGUCCCAUCCAGUCCAAUCUAGUCAGAUUCAUCCAGUACUAUUCAUCGAGUCCAAUCCAGUCUUAUUUUAUCCAAUCAAAUUCAGUCUGGUUCAGUCCAGCAUUCACAGGCCUGUCAUGAGCCCUCAUUGCUCUGGUUACGUAGUUAUAAAUCAGUUUAACCAGACACACCCUAUGUUCAACUUUAUCCCCACUGACAAACCAUGAUGUGCUACAUCAGUGGUUCUCAAGACCAGUCCUCGAGGCCCACUGUCCUGCAUGUUUUGGAUGUUUCCCUGCUCCAACACACCUGAUUCAAAUGAUUAGCUCGUUAUCAAGAUCUGUAAUAACGAGCUGAUCAUUUGAAUCAGGUGUGUUGGAGCAGGGAAACAUCCAAAACAUGCAGGACAGUGGACCUCGAAGACUGGACUGUGUCGGUCAUGAACGAACUGGUUCAAAGAGCCGGCUUCCGUCUAUGGACCGUUUUUUUUUCCUCUUUUUUUCUCUCUCUUUUCUUCCCUCAGACCAGUAGACAAUAACUACAAGGCAGAAUGACGGGACUUCUAUCUGCUUUGUGUAGCAGAGUGGUUCUAGCAAGUCAUCAAGUCAAGUGCAUUCAUUAGGUGGUUUCAGAGAGUUACAAGGGUCUGUAAUUGCAAUGAAAACAAUUGGCUACAGCAAUUUACUGAUAUUAGAAAACAUAAUUUUUCCUUGUGAAUACUUCAGUACAAAGGAUGUAUUGAAUUAUUUCAGUGGUAUGUGCACAAAUACACAUCAUGAGCCAAACAACGCUAAAUUUAGCUGAAUCGGAAAGUCUAUAAGUGGUAAAAUGAAGAGCCAUUUUGGAGCUUCUUGGUGAGCUGAGCCGAAUGAUCUGGCUCACUAAAAAGAGCUGUAAUUCCCAUCACUACUACAUGAUACCAGCUCUGCUUGUUUACAUACAGGUAUAUAUGAUAGCAUUGUGGGGAUGCUACAUGAUUCUAAAUGACAUUCCAGGUCUUCUGAAAUAACAUAAUGAAAUCCUAAUAAUGAACUAACUAGUUUGAAAGUCCAGGAUCAGAACACACAAUACGUUAAGGUUUAGAUGGGCGUAGAACAAUCGGCGUAUAACCUUCUCUCAUGUCUGCAUAAGUUGAGCAAAAAGAAGUUAGAAUUGUUGUAGACUUUAUCCAAAUGAACAGUGAUUUAAAUGACACCUGGAUGGUAAAUUUUGCAAUGUGCAUUUUAGAAGACAAAUGUCCUUUUGUUUUACAGGUGUCUGUGCAUCCUGCUGCUUUUACCAUGUGCAUGAACUCCUAAAAUAAGUUGUGUGUCUUUUUGAUUUCCUACUCACACAGUUCUGAAGAGUCAGUACAGAAAAUUAUGAAAAACAACACCGCUUACAACAAUUUCUCUGAUCAGCAUUGACUUUGUCUCAUCCCUGAUGGCUGCAGAGUGACCCCGCAUCAGUUUGCUCGACUCUAACAUCAUAAGCUUCAGUGUCAUCAUUGCUGCUUCGCUCUGCUGGCUCUGAAAGCCGCAGUCAGACCGUAUAAUCCUGUUAGAGAUCAGGAUGUGAUUCAUGAUCUUUAGUGGAUGUCAUCCCUUUCUCUUCCUCUCCCAGUCCUCCUGUCAGUGUCCUCUGUAUAAAUAAUCUCACUCUCUAAGACUCGCCGCUAAUACGCUGUGUGAAAUCCGCCAUGUUCACUGGGAUUCCUCGCACUGUGAGGGGGGGGAGGAGGGGGCAGAGUCCAGGGAGUUUACACAGAGGGGGGGAUAGCACAGUCUGUAAGAGCCUUUCAUUGAUUUAAGACACAUGCAAACAGGAUUUUUCCAAAUGAUUUUGAAUACAUGCAAAUAAAGCCGAUGUUUCAGGCUAUUGUGGCUUCAGAUAUUUAUUUUUUCCCAUUGAGGGAUUGACAUUUUUGUAUAUAUGAGGUUUGCAAACACAGUGUGUUUAAAGCGUAUGAUCUGAGGGUCCCAUUAACAUACAAUCUGGGAUCUGAAUGACCUAAUAGACAAAGCUACAGCAUUUUUACAGCAGAUAUUUCAGAGAGCAACAGUACGAUUGGCUGUAAUGGCUGCAAAAUAGUUCAAAGGAUGUGUUAAAAGGUUGUGUUUUUAUCUUAACCCUUUGAUGCGCAACAUGUGUCAAAAAAGACCCGGCUGAGUUUAAAUUUUAUAUAUCUUUUCAAAAAAUUAAUUCCAUCAGUCGGUACUCAAGGAAUUCCUCAAUUAACUUGUUUUUGACGACCCUACAUCCUUUUGUUAAUUUUUCUUUUUUUACUUUUAGAAGAAAAACCGUUUUUGUAUCACUACCCCUCUAAUGCACAACAUGGGUCUAAAAUGACCCGUAUCCAUUUUCAAUGUUAUUUCAUGUAUGGCUGAGUGUUUCUAUGGUAUAUCUUUGAAAUAAAUUAAUUUUAUCAUUUAGUAUUCCAAGUAUGCAAUAAAGAUAUUGUUUUAGUUGAGCACAAAUAAUAAUUUUUAUUUUUCCUUUCUUACGUUAUGAGGAAGCACAGUUUUUUACAGUUUACAUACAUGGGUCAGAAACGACCCACAUACAGUGACUGUAGCAUUUAGCAUGAAAAGACCGUCUAAUACAUGUAAGUAUGGUUUUUCAAUUGUUCUGACAUUAUCUUUAAAUUAUUUGAUGACAGUUGUGAAAUAUAAUUGUACAUAGAUUUGAUUUGAUUAGGUUUAGGUUACCUUGAGAGUGAGGACAUUAUAUGUUGGAAAGUUACACAGUUACAGGUAAAACAGCUAGCGUUAUUUCAGCUAGCUAUAAUCAGACGCAUGUGUAUGUGACAAAAUGACAAAUAAACAUGUUGCUAAUACAAAAUACAAAAGUGUUUGGCCCAUAGACUGUAUAAAGAAUGGACAGUGUCUGCCUCCUCGCUGGGUGAAGCCACUCCGAGAACAGCACCCUCUGUUGAUGGGCUGCAGUAUAGGUCAUAAAUCCCACCUCCGCCAGCAAAGCUUAUGGAGCUGUGGACAAACUUUAGAAAUUUAUUACACAGAAUAUACAUUUUUCUCCCUCCUGAUUGUGAUGUUGACAUGUAGUUAUUGUAAGACUGGUUUGUGCUCAAGUCCUCUUUUUUCUGUGAAGCUCCAUUUUUAAAAGUUAUUAGGGGUUCAUGUUUUCUAUGAUUGACACCUGAUACAGCCUAUGGGCGUUCAGGGAUUGCGUAGCUCUCCCGGGGGAUAUGCUGUUUGAGCCGAGUGUCAUCACAGCGACUCUCUUCAACUGUGCGGCCAAAUGCGCGCAUUGCUACUGCGCAGCGCUGGUUUCAGGAAAUGAAGAAAAAUCCUGGAAAUAUCGAGAGCUAUUUGGCUUCAAAUCUGUAUACAGGCAGUAGGCGGAAUGAAGUUGUCCAUAGUAUAUACAGUCUAUGGAUACAGCCUAUGGGCGUUCAGGGAUUGCGUAGCUCUCCGGGGAUACGCUGUUUGAGCCGAGCGUCAUCACAGCGACUCUCAGCGACUGCGCGGCCGAAUGCACGCAUCGCAACUGCGCAGCUCUGGUUUCAGAAAUGUAGAAAAGUCCCGGAAAUACCGAGAGCUUUUUGGCUCCAAUCGGUACACAGGCGGUAGACGGAACCAAGUUGUCCAUAGUAUAUACAGUCUAUGGUUUGGCCCCACUCUCUGCUAAUUUCAUUACUUGAAACAAAUUAUUAUUAUAGUGUUAGGUAAUUCAAUAUUAAAUCACACUUGGAUGAAUGGGUCGUUUUUGACCCAUGUGUGUAAACUUGAUGUAAUAAUAUAGAAACUAUAUUAUUUCAAAAAGUAUGAAAAGAAAAAUAGAAAUAAUAAUCAGUGGUGAUCAAAAACAAGAUAUUUAAAGAAUACUUGGAAUAUUCAAUCAGAAAAUAAACUUAUUUCAAAAGAUAGAACAAAGAAAAACUCAGCCAGCAUGAAAUACCAUUGGAAAUGAAUGCGGGUCUUUUUAGACCCAUGUUGCGCAUUAGAGGGGGUGUGGAUAUGUUGCGCAUCAAAGGGUUAAGAUUAUUAUCUCAGGAGUUCGAUGGUAUUUCAGAAAGGAUCCCUUCAGAAAUUGAGCUUUUGGUGAUUUAAGAGGAUUUAAGAAAAAAAACAAAAAAAAAAACAGAAACAGCUGUUCCACCACUUUUUAUGACACUGCAUUACAUUAACAUCAGAUCAUCUUCUACCUUAAAGGAUAUAGGAGUUGUCGGUGUAUCGCUGCCUUGAUGGGUUUUCUAUUCUUUAUGCUUAUGUCAGUGAUGGAUGUGUUUAAAAGAAGACAAGACACUGACGUGGGAAGGAGAGGCAUCACAGUGUCUUAAAAAAUGAAAAUAAAGAGGGGGUUUCAAAAUUAUUUAAAAUUGUAAUUUUUCUUUAUUGUUAUGAAAAUAUAGAUACAAAUAUAGUUUCUAAAAGUACAUCAGGGGUCACCACUGUCUUACAAUUUUAUUUGGGGUUUGAUGGUUGGGGAUUUUGGCAAUCACUUCUCGAAACAUUUGAAACAACUCCCAGUGUCUCAUUGGUAGACCCUUUUUAGACUCUUCAUGUUGAUUUUGUUGAGAAAUAGAGAUAGCAUAAUUGUCUUCAAAGAGACAAAACUUCAUUGACAAAAACAGGAACUCAAGAGAACACAGGAGUUGCUGGUCUAGUUGCUUCGAUUAGUUGGUUGGUUUGUUUCGUUUCAUAUAAAAGUCCUGAUCAAAGCUGACAGGAUAACAGAAAAAGAUAUUAAACCAUCCAAAUGGGACAAAACCCGGUAAUUAAGCCCAAGAACACAGGAGUUGCUGGUCUACCUCUGCUUUGACGUGAGUUUGUAAGUAAAAAUAAAUACCAUUUCAAAGCUUAAAUAAUAAGUCUUUGUAAAUCAAUUUGCAAAUUUUUGUCAUCCAAAAACAUAACAGUCCAAGCAGGACUUGGGAGUUGCUGAUCUACUUCUGCUUUUAUAUGUGGAAAUUUAAACCACUAUUAAAAGUAACAGAAUAACUGUUAGUACAAUAAUUUUCAAAGUUAUGUUUAACAAAAACAUAGAAACAGUCCAAGCAGAGCUUAAGCACCCUACAGGACAUGGGAGUUGCUGGUCUACCUCUGCCUUUAUUUGUAGAAAUUGAAAUUGAGACCACUUUUAAAGGUAACAGAAUACAUCCUUGUACAAUAAUUUGUAAUGUCACACAAUAAAAACCUCACAGGGCACAAGAGUUGCUGGUAUACCUCUACUUGUGAGUUGGUUUGUGUUCUUGUUGGACUUUAUUUGGCAGCCUUUGCAGCCUGUUUUGUGGCUGCAGGCUGGAGCUAUACAAAAAUAGUUGACAUCUUUUCAGUGAGUAGAUGAUAAACUGAUUUAAGAUGAUGUUUUGGGAUGUUAUUCCAGCCAUAGCCUGCAGUUCAUAUAAUCAAAUCGCCUUUGAUCCAUCACAGCCCGCUCAGCUAAAAAACCUGUUAAGCUGCUGUUUUCCUAUUUUCUUCAUUGCCAGAACUUUUGAUCAAACUAGUUUCCACAGAAUUUAAUGUUAGUUUGUGUUACUUUGCCGCUGUCUUUCUAUCUAUUAGAGCAUUUAGACCUCUAAAAGAAUUCACUGGUGUUUUAGAGAGGAACAAACAAAGCCACUCGCUCCCACUUUAAAGUGUCUUGUUUGCUUUUAGCCGCUCAGCAGGUCCUUCUGUCUCACUGUGCUUGUCUCCCGCUAAUGUGUUUCAGAGUGUUAGCUGGUGAACGGCCUCUAAUUUCUGCCCCGUGGAUCCUCUAGUCUUAACAGCAUCGUAUAGCCUGCCUGUCCGGUGAGAAGCCCGAAGCGAUUGUGCUCUAAUGAGGAACAGUUGAGAAGCAAUCUAACCCUGGAGCGCAGAUAGCAUUGUCCCCUCUGCAACAUCCAAUUUGCAGCAGAUUCAUCUUAAUGCUGCGGCGCUUGUAGCUGCGGAUUAGUGAUAUAGCUGCGGCUUAAAGUCCCUCACAGCUCUGAUUGAUUGAGCUGAAGUCAGGUACAUGUCUGCAGAAAGAAAGCAGCUCAUUUAGCGUUUUCUGGUGUUAUCUCUGGACUCCAGCGUUCAGGCAGUGGAGAGUGUUUUCCUAGACUGGCUAAACGUCCUGGCUGUGUGAUGAUAGGCUGACCUCAGGUAGGCUGCAGCAGGCCAAGGUCGACCCAUGGAGGGAGCGGGCUGCGUUCAAUAGCGAGACAAUGACAGAGAAAACGAGCAUCUUUUAUCUUGUGAAGGUGAAGCGGUGUUGACAGGGACCGGAGCACAGCCCUGACACUGAUGAAUAGCUUUAUUGAAGAGAGGUUACAGAGAGCACUUUUGAUGCUCGACAGGAAAUGUGCAGUUGGAUUUUUUUUCCUUCGUUUGUUUAGGAUUUAUUUUCAUUCUGUGUUGAUGAAGUUUGUCAGGGUUUUCUGUGUGUUCUCAGCUGUGUCAGCCUUUUAUGCAACCUUUUCUGUUCUUUUUUAUUUCUGCAGAAACUCAUUAUUUCUGCGCUUUCAGAGAGCUAACAGAAACCAGGUGAGUUACAAAUUACAAGUCUGAGUCAACGAUCCAAGGCUAAGAAAAAGGACGAGAAUAGUUGUCCAACAAGUCGCCGUAACUCAUUGAGAGUGGGCACAUGUAGACUGAGCGCUAUUUUUAAGAUUGUUUUACCCAUAGAUUGUAUAUACUUUGGACAAGUUGGUGCCACCUUCCGUCAUUGUACAAAUUUGAAGCCGAACCACCACUUCCACAAUAGCGUUGUACGCAUUCGGUGGGAGAGUCGCUGAGAGUCCCUGUGGUGACACUUGGCUCAAACAGCGUAUUCCCGGGUGAGCUACGCAAUCAUCGUACACCCAUAGGCUGUAUCAAGUGUCAAUCAGAGGAAACGUGAACCCCCUAAUAACUUUUAAAAAUGGAGCUUCAAAGAAAAAAAGAGGACUUAAGCACAAACCAGACUUAAGUUCCUUACACACCGGGAACGACGCAAAUAUACAACGCAACAUUACGAAAUAUUCAGAGGCGAAUUUUGACGCACCUGACUAUACACAUCCAGCCCGAUGCGAUUUAGCGACUUUCCUGGGGAAAAAAGGUGCGUCCCUGGUGGAACGCGAUUGAGUUUGAGACAGUGAAAAUACAUAUGGUAUGUUGUAUCUGAACAGGUUAGAUUAAGAGCUAAAGUUACUUAGCACAGAUGAAAGUUAAAACAAAGACGUUUAGCAAACUGUUAAAGCGCACAAAACAUCGUCAUAUGAGAAAUCCGACACUAUGACUCUCCACAAGUUGUCCUUCGGGUCGUUAUCUUUGUAAUGUUUGUGUCUUUUAUCAAAAAGCACUCUGUUCUCUGACAUGUAAACAAUCAGCUGGUCUGCCAUGUUGGAUAUACUGGUGAAUCAGACGUUGCAACAACACAAAAUCUGAUUGCAUACUGUGUGUCCACUUCUGACCAAACUUUAGAAAAUUAGACAUAUGUGAUAUGAAAAAAUAAAUGCUGCAAUAUCGCAGGAUGGAAAACGUCGCUGAUGUGAACGCUUGUAUUGACAGGAUACGGGUUUGAAAAAAUAUAUUGACGUCCGAAAUAAUCGCAGGAAAAAACAGUCCCGGUGUGUGAGGACCUUUACAGUAACUACAUGUUAACAUCGCAAGCAGAGGGGAGAAGAAAUUAUAUUCUGUGUAAUACAUUUCUAAAGUUUGUCCACAGCUCCAUAGGGAUUGCUGGAGGAGGCGGGAUUAAUGACUUACACUGCAGCCAGUCACCACAGGGUGCUGUUCUCAUGGUGGCUUCCAUCAGCAUGGAGGCAAACGGCAUCCAAUCUAUAUACAGUCUAUGGGUUUAUCUCAUUAGCAGGAACGUUUGACCAGUAAAACAUGAAAUAUAGAUGAGACGCCCGACUUUAAAGGUAAGAAAAUUCGGGCUAAAUUUGAGUCCUGUAAGAGACCAUUCCACCAUCAAGAGUCAAGAUGAUCAAGAUCAUGACAUUUACAGCAACCAGAACAACUUUUUACUGUAAAUAAAAAAGUCAAAUAGUCACAGCUGAACUAAAGUCAGCAGGUCCAGACUUAGGGAUUUAGGGAAGCGUCACAUUCGAAAGCGGCAUGAAUAGCAGUCGUAGUAUUUGUUCGGUAUUUGUUUGAAAACUAAAAGAUAUUUAAUCCAACAUCAUCAUUCCUGAAUUUAUCCCCAACCAGAACACAUCUUCAUUUAAUCCCUUUUUAGCUUUUGUAGUGCACACUCAGACGCCUGACCUCAACUGAACGGACUUUCGCACAGAGUCAGUAAGGGAUUUUGAUUUUGCUCUCAACGUUAUUUGUGUUGCUUUGUGAUAAAACAAGUCAUUAAAUUUCAUAACAUGAGAGUUUGAUACUCAGUCUUAUUGGCAGUACAUAAGGCUUGCUUUUGCGGGAUCUUGUAAAUUUAUAGUCGUUUUACAGGUAGAUUUAUAGAUGCAUUUGACUGCAAGUGAUUUUUCAAGACUGGGGACUGUGAUAGUUGUGGAAAAAGAAGAUUAAAGGAUUAGUGAGGAAAUAUGGACAAAUUCAGUAUAUUUUGUUCCAAAAGAAGUGAUGAAUAACUUGUUUGUGACACGUUGCAGUGCUUUUUACAGCCUCGAAUGCUUUUAGAAUAAAACUGGAUUUAAUUCAUGGACACACUGCAGAUAAAUCUCUAAAUUAUGGAUCUAAAAACGUCUCUGCGCAUAAUUGGGAGUGAAUUGUGUUGAAAUGAAAAUCAGAUAAAAGUUUAAGAGCUCUCUUGUUUACCCUCUUCUGCAUGUGGCUGAUAGAGGACGGCCCUCUUAAUAGACACAGUGUUUAUUUAACGUCAUUGCUUGCACGAGAAAAGCCUUCAAUCUCCUGAUAACAUUUGAUUUUAUCAGACCAGAGAAAGCGCUUUUUUAAAAAUCUAAAUUACACCAAAUAUUUUCAGCAUAUGCAGCAGUAAAGCUGUUUUCUGUCUGCCUGAGAGGAUGAAGAUGUGCGUUAAUAACAGUGUGCACACAAAGAGGUGUUUGCCAUGCAGGAGAGGUCUUACUUUCAAUUAACUGUACAGAAGAUGUGCAGUAGGCCUGAUGACACCUUUGGCAUGUUUGCACAGCAUUAUAGCUUCUUUGCGCCCUGUUUGCAUGAAAGCGCCUCGCUGCGAUUAUUAUUCAGCCUGACUGUGGCCUUGUGUCCACGCUGCUUUGAUGGCAUACUAAUGAAAGCGCAGGCAAGACGCUGUGAUAUCAUACUCUGCUUUAUCUGACAAACAAAACUGUGCAGAGAGUCAAAGCUUCAGGAGAGUCGGAGCUGAUUUAUAUUCAGGGAAAUAUUUAACAAUCCCCUCUGACACGACCUACGCCUCAUCCAGCCAAAAUUAAUGAGCAAAACCUCCAAUUUCGGCCUGUUUUGCAUGGAGGUGUUUCAUUUCUGUAUCCUGACAUUGCAGGCCGUCGUGGAUCAAACAAGUUCCAGUGAAUCUGACCUGCAAAUGAGCCUCUCAGACUACCUGUCUAAUUAAGAGAGGGGUAGCAAGAGCUGGAGGAGCUGCUCGGAGGAGCUCCUUAGGGAGGCGUAACUCUGCAGAUGACCAGAUGUGUCUCCUGCUUUCAUCCCUCCCUCUCUCUCUCUCUCUGACCAUCCCACAUGUUUCCCCACCACAUAGAUAUCAGAUCUGAGGCCUGAUGACAAAAGAAAAGAAACGCACACACACACACAAACAACACAAAGUUUGCUCCAUUUUAAUUGUGCGUCUUUGAUGGUUUCAAAGAGCUGUGAUUGGAGGAGCUGCUUUGAUCUGAAUGCAGGAAAAUUCAGCUCAGGACUGAAAUCAUUACCAACACACUCUGUUCAGUCUCAGUUUGGUAUGAAAACUCCUCUCGCUGUUCACGCGGGGCUAAAAGAGAGAAGAUAUCUCUUUUUAAACUUUGCUAACAGAAUUUAGUAACUCUUGGGAUCGUGCAGUCCCCAGAGACAAAUGUUCAGGCCAGUUCAGACUGUAAAUUUGAUCCAACACCAGUUUAAUUUGUACUUUCUUGAAAUAUGAUGGUUUGAAUCUCUGAAAAGUUGCCAGUUUUGAUAAAUGGAGACAAACUGUGGAGGAUUUAACCCAGAACAACAACCAUCUGUUUUCACUGUAUUACUUCUCGCUUUUCAGGCCCGUUUUAUUUAUUUUUUUUUAUUUUGUUCCAGUAUGAUGAUUUAUUGUGAAUGUGAAGAAGGACAGCCAUUGGAAUUAACUUGUAACCAACAGAUUUCCUGCAUGGCAAACUUUGGAAUAAAGACUUCGACAUUUGGUGAGCAAUUUGAGAAGAAUUCAACAACUUCAACAUAGUUUGGUUUUGAGUGACUCAUUCAUUGGAAAAGGAAAAGUCUUUUCUUUGUGUUUAAGAAAAAUCUGCAAAAAUAAGAAGAGGACAUUGUUGUGAGAAUGACCCCCAUCCACUGAAGUUUCCAUGCAAAGCCUAUAGUUGGCAGCAUAACUUAGUAAGGAUAGACCACUGAAGAACAACACCCACCCACCCAUGUGUAAAAGCAUUCCUCAGUAGAGUGGUGAGUACAAACCAAUGAGAGGAUUAUGGCAAAUACAUGUGAGGUGAAAUAAUGUCGAGGAAGUCUGUGUCUUUGUUGCAGGAGCAUUUGUAAAAUACUGUUUUGAGGUCUGCAGUGCCUAGAAGAAGAAAAGACAACUCGUCACGUGGGACCAUUUUUAACGUUCUGGGUUCCAGUCUGCAUCCUGCCUAGUUGUGGGUCUCAUACUGCGUUCCAGUUACCUCUGAAGUCAGAUGUCUGAGCUGGGAAUUGCGUUCCACCCGAGUUGACAGCGUUCCAGUAAACAAGUCGAAAAACCAAAAUGGACGCCUACUGUUAGCCGUAGUUGGUAGCAUCUGCACUUUUCUAUGCAGUGGUCUGCUGGGGGGCAGGGAGCACCGAGAGGGACAGUGGGUGAGAGGGACAGGAAGAGACUGAAUAGACUGGUCAGGAGGGUCAGUUCUGUCCUGGACUGUUCUUUGGACUCCCUGGAGGAGGUGGGUGAGAGGAGGAUGUUAACAAAGCUUGUAUCCAUCAUGGACAAUCCCUCUCACCCACUGCACCAGACUGUGGGGGCUUUAAGCAGCUCCUUCAGCAGCAGACUGAGACUUCCACCUUGCAAGACGGAGCGCUACCGCAGGUCAUUCCUCCCCUCUGCAAUAAGACUUUACAACGAACUGUAAUAAUAACUGGAUUUACACCACCAUUUUUUUCUGGCAUUUAAAUUGUGUAUAUUGUAGAUAGUUUUAUUUUUCUUCUCCCUUUUUCCUUUUUCUAAAUUUUUUCUUAAUUAUUACAUUUAUUUAAGUUCUUAAUAUUAGGAUCUUUAUUUUUAUAACUGCAUUUUUGCACUCUGUCUGUGAUGCUGCUGUGACAAAAAAAAAAUUUCCCCCAUGGGGGAUCAAUAAAGGAAUAUUCUAUUCUAUUCUAUUCUAUUCUAUUCUUAGCUGUAGUUAGCUGUUGUUAGCGAUACCAGUUGUAAACAACAUAUACGACAGUAUUUUACCCUUACAAACACCAUAGCACUGUGUUCACAGUUAGAUGUUGGGAAGUAAAACAUAUAACACUUAUUUAACUUCACAAAAACAAAACAGAAGUGCUAAUAAAUAAUACAUUACGAGAACUUUCACUGUUACUCUUUACUGUUGAUGCACUGCGCUGCCAUCUUGGAUUAUGACGUUGUCAUCAAGUCAGGGGUGGUGAGGAUGGUUCAACUUUCCGAGUCCAAAAUCCGACUUCAAAAGGAGCGUUCCAGAUGAAUUUCUUGACCCGACUUCCAAGUACAACUGGAACGCACCGUUAGUUAUGGACGUACUGCCUUCUCAACACUCAUUUAACACAAUUUCAGCUUCACCUUUUUCUGCCUUUUUGAGAAGUUUUUAACACUCAUUAACUUUUGGCAUCAUUUGGGACAAUAACUGCAAUCUGUUCUUGACCUUGGCUCCUUUAGAAAUCUUUCAGUUGGAGAUCAGAAGGAAACAUGCUGAGCCUCAGAACAUUGGAUCCCAAACCCUGAGCCAGGAUGGGACUAGAAACUUGGACAUCUUUUGCAGCUCGCUGCCUUCUCAAACAGAAAAGUUCACCUAUAGAAUACUCUUCAAAUGUUAUUGCACAAUGAAAGAUAAGCUUGUAAACAACAGUUAAGGACUCUGGUUUCUACCUAACUCUGAGAGAGGAAAAAACAGUAACCUUGUCUUGAGAAGUAUCAAUAAACUCAGUAGAGUCAGGAGAGGAAGUGGUGAAUUGUGGAUUUUGUACCCUUGGGUCUGAACAGUUCAGACAGACAGAUAGAUAAUACCUGUCAAACUGAGCGCCUUGUACAAGAUAAGUCGCCCCUGCACAGAGACAUACAUCUUCCUUCAAAUACAGUUUAUGUUUCUGAGGAUCUCUUGCAUGUUUGAAAAAGUCGAAUUCAUCCUGUCUGCCCUCUUUCAGGCUCUUGUUACUCUCUGACUCCAGUUGUAUUCUGGCUUCACUCAGCCCUCCAGGGGGACUAGUCAAACAUGGCCACUCGGUCUCUUCACCACCGGGACACAGAUGUUUAGUGGAGCUCGCUCUGAAGUUCAUCAAGCCUUAAUGACUGCAGGAAUAAUUAAAAGUGGUCCCUUGUAUUCAGGAGCCGUCCCUCUUUGAUAGAGACACCUGAGCAGCUUUGAGAGUCGAGUUAAGUGACACUUUAGGUUCAAGUAACGAGGGCGAGAGGCGGCGGAGCGGGACGUUUACGCCAUGUUAGGCAAAAAGAGCUGCUGAGGGGACGAUAAACAGAAGGCAUGCUGGAAACCUUUAUGCGGAAAUUUCAGGUUUGGAUCCUGUUAGGUCUGGAUUGCCAUCCUCUUCACAGCUGGAAAACGCAGCUCAUUUCCAGCAGCAAAGGUGAAUUUUUCAAAAGGCUGCAUGUUAUUUUUAAUUCCUUGAGUGGGUUGAGACUGUGAAAUCUCCUUUAAUACAUAACAAGUGCAGACAGUCACUGAAAGGCCACGGGUUUGGCUUCACACUGUUUUUAUGAAGUAUUAACUGGCCCUUAAAAACAAGCACAGUCCAAAACAACAAGGGAAUUAUUUCAGCGGGAUGUGGGAGUGAAAAUAGAGCAACAUUUGUUCUACGAGAGGGAGUUUGAAAGAAAUGUGCCGUCAGUUUUAGAAAUGCUUUAAUUAAAUGUGUCAGACUCUUCUCUUUGUUCAGAAGCCUGUCAUGAUCUUUUUUUCUGAGAUUCUUUUAAUGAUCUCACAAAGGGAUGACCAAUUAAUGACCGUAUGAGAUGAGGGAAUUCGACAAUGAUCUAACAGGUACUUGAAAAACAGGUGCUGGACGGUACCUCAUAAUUUUCUAAUCAAAAACAGAGGCCCUAGGGUACCUUAAAAUCAAAACCGUGGAUAUCAUUGAACAAACACCAAAGGUAACAACAUCAGGAGACCUUCAACUGUUUGCAAACUGAACUUUUGAGCAGUCACCAUGGGGUUACUAAAAAGACUUUGCUUAUAACUGCUUCAUACUGACCCCAAAAAGAAAUGUUCAUAGCUCCAUGAGUUUCAUGCAGAGUAUCUAAAACCAGACUUAAGAGUACUUAUAAUCUGCCCAACCCCCAAAUUUUCACUGCAUACGAAACGGCUUAGCUGUGGAAUGGUAGUGAUUUUCGCCAUCCGCCAAUUCCUACCAGAUGUGUUUGUGAGGCGAAUUUCUUUUGCGGAUUUUGGACAGCAGGAAUCGCGAGAACUCAUAAGAACCUUCAGAUUCAAAUGCAAUUGCACAAUAAUGAGUUGUCUUUAUAAAAACAGCCACAUAACCACAUAAGUAGUAGAUUGUGUCCUUCCAGAGGAGGAAAUCCACUUCUAGACUAGACAUGAAGUCUGAAAACCUUUGACUUGUUCGUCCCCGCCCAAGAAGCCGAAUGUUUUAUUUUGCAUCUGUGCUUGACUUCCUUUACAAUACGGGUUAAUCUGUGCUAAAUUUAUGCAGCAUGCUGUAGUGUCCGGAUAAAGUAGAAACCUGGCGAUUGGCUACGAAGCCCGCUGAACCGCAGGGGGCUGGAUAGAAGCAGGUGGAAAUUGACACAUUAACUUGAAUGGAAACGAUCAGCUGCGGUUGAUGCCGACAGCUUUUCCGCUGGCAUUCCACAUGCGGUAGAAAUUGGGGGUAAGUGUAUCCCCAGCUCUCGUUUUUGAAGGGUACCUUGGUGGUACCUCAAAAUUUACUGCAAACAGUACUUCAAAGCAGUCCAAACUGAGUUUCAGAAGUGUACCUCUAGAGAAACUGUUGAGGGUGUCUCAAAAUGCUGAAAACAGAACUUCACUUUGUUGCUGGGAAAAUAGUAAAUUAAAAUAGUGUCCAAAUGACAGUUUGAAACAUUCAUAAUGUUUAUCCUAAUACACAGGCAAAAACUCAAGAAAAAACUGUUAAAAUGAUCCAACCACUUUUGCAAAACAACCUUAAAAGCAUACCUGAGAUUUGUUGCUUAAAAGCCCCUCAAAUUUUAUAAGGGUACCUGAACUUUGAGGAAACCUUCCCAAAAGGAUUAAUAAACACUUACCCUAACCCUGUCAAAUCUAAUCUAAUCGUACCUUAAAAUGGCCCCCGACUCUUCUUUUAAGUUAAACUGGGUCCAGAUUGACUUAAAAACAUUGGUUAAGGGAGGAUCUGUCCUGUUAAAUGGGACUUUAAAAACAGACAGCAGACACUUCGAAAUGCUUUUGAUGAAAAUGUUUCAAAGUUGAUGUUUUACUUUUUUCAAAAUUAAGAUUUAAGGAGUCUGAGAACACCAGGCUGAUGUUUUUGGCAGAGUUUUAUAAUCUUUUUUUGUGUCUUUUUUAAAAAUUCCAGCAGCCCUUAGUUCCCAUAAUCUCCAUUAAAACAUAACAAUCUGUCUGAGGACUAUUAUUUGUGGUUUGAUUCAUCAGAGUGACGAUAAUGUGGGUUUUUAUCUCUUUGUCUAACUCUGUCUGAUUGUUGCCAACAGCCUCCCUGCAGACUGCACACAGAUCUAACGGCGUGUGUGCUCACACUCACACAUUACGAGCCUCUGGGUGCUUUAAAACUGAAUGGCAAAUCAAUUGACCCGCAGGAACUGACGAUCAUUUCAAAGACUAUGCUAAUCUCAUUACAUCACAUGUGAAGCGAACGGGAGUCACAGUCUUUGAACGCCACACUCGCUGCUCCUCUCCCCUCCUCAUAAACACACAGAUCUGCCUCUAAUUGGAUGGUGGUCGGGACCUGAGGAACAUAAAUCUUGGAAAUAGAAAGCUGCCAAAGCACAAAGUAAUUAAAACUAAAAUAAAACAUGAUGGUCUUCUAAAAGCUGAGCCUUUAAUGAACAAAAAGACUAAUUAAUUGCGUGGUGUCAGGGAGCGCACUUGCUCUGAAUUAUAGAUGAGCAGAGAGGGGAGAUCUAUGAACGAUUGGAGGAUUAAAACAGGGAGUACAUGGAGUCUAAAGGCACACACACUUCUCUUUAUGUGACAAAGUCCAGAAUUUACACAGAGAAUUACUAAUUCAUGUAAUGAUUUAGUAUCCACCUUAAUCCAAUGAUACACUUCUUCAAGGGUGUUUAUUCACUUAAGCUGAAUUUCCACACCACCACUGUCUGAAUUUGCUUUCUAAUCGACUCAAUAUCCAUAAAGCAACAGUAGGGUCUACCAUUUUUACAAGGAUCUGAGCUGUUUUAAAAGCUUCUGUAUGAGGAUAUAGGGACCAAAAAUGUAUUGAAAUAGUUCAUUCUUUUAAAAGGAGACAGGCAGAUAGAAAUGCUGUAUUAGACAUAUUAAACAAGAGCAUUUAAAAUAGAGUGACCAGAAUUUUGAGGGUUUUUCGGGUCGGGUUGAGUGUAUUUUUUUACACGCUUCUAACUCAGUCCAGCCUACACAAACUCAAAACUUCCCUACAAAACUCCUGACAUUUGAAGGAUUUUAUAAACUUCCCCAGAUAAAUAAAAGAGGACAUAUCCGGGUAAAAGAGGACGUAUGGUCACCCUAGUUAAAACACCAGGUAUACAAAGACUGUUGAAGCAAACGUCUGCCCCAAAAGCUGAGUUACAGGAGGCUGCAGCUGCAGAGUAUUUAUACUGCUGAGUUAAUGAAGAGCAGGUGUGCAGACAGACACAGGUGAGUUAAAUGAGGUCAUCAGGUUUCCACAGACAAACCACACCUAUGUACACUGUGAACUUAUCAAAUUACCCUCCUAUAGGCUGGAAUUUUACCUUAGUCCAGUGUUCCAGUGGUCCUGCAUGUUUUGGAUGUUUCCCUGCUCCAACACACCUGAUUCAAAUGAUCAGCUCGUUAUCAAGCUCUGUGAUGGCUUAAUAACGAGCUGAUCAUUUGAAUCAGGUGUGUUGGAGCAGGGAAACAUCCAAACAGUGAAAAUUCACAGUGGAAUUAAAUGGAAAUACACAAGUUACUCAUACGUUGGACUGAAUAAGAAAUGAUCUGUUUGAUAAAACACUUUAUUAUAAAUGAAAAAUGAGAUUGUAAACCAUUUAAAACUGGUAAAUCUCCAGUCUUAGCAGCAAAUUACUGCCCUUUGAAUUACCGCAAUUAAUUCAGUGCCUGCGGGGUAAAUCUGAAGUCAGGCUCAGAUAUUCUGUUAAUCUCACUGCAAACAGUCAUGUCUAAAGGAAUUGGAGGCCAAAUUAUUUAUGCUAUGCAGAUAUAAAAGGUUCUUAUGGUUCCACGAAAUCAAAAGCUCUCGUGCAAACACUGAGACACCCAAAGAACCCAUUUCCAGCCUGUUUGUAGUCUGACCAGUGAGUUUAUUCAUCCCUCUGACUGCUCAGGUUUAUUUGCACAGCUUCAGUUACUCUCUGCAUAAUCACCUGAAGACUUUCAUGUCUGUUUUCCUGAGAAAAGAUUUAAAAAAAAAGUAUGAAUGCACUCCAGUGGAGGUAAUUGAGAAACUGGAAUAAAAGAAGAAAUAAAAAAAAACAAGAGGAAAGUAAAAGAAAACUAGAUAAUCAUAAAAUGCAGACAAAAAGAUAAAUAUACAUUUUUUUUUAUAUGAAAAAGAAAGGGAGUAAAAUGUAAGAUAUGGAUUUUUCAACAAUCUGCAUAAAGACAAAUAAAAUAAAAAGUUAGAAGAAAAUAAAGUAAGAAAAAGUAGAGAAAACAAUUGUAAAAGAGUAAAAAAUAUAUAUUUAAAAAAAAAGAGAAAGUUAUAAAAAAAAAAAACUGUAAAGACAAGGGCAAAAAAUAAUACUAAAAAUAAAAGAAAAAGUGACCUACUUCUUAUUUUUCUUCGUUUUCCUGGUCUGGCUUGACUCUUUUCCAGAGCACCCUCCCCCUCCCCGUCGCUGAGGCUGAGUGAGACUCCACACCUGCGCUGAAUCUGCAAUCAAGGCACUUUAAGAAGCCAGCAGCCCUCAGUCUCAGCGCCUCAGUAUUGUCUUCACUCCCGAGUAAUACAGACGUGUCUUCUGGCCUUUCUUUUGAAUAAGUGCUUGCAACUUUGCUCCCUGUGAUUCAUUGUAUGUCUACUCACUUCCAUCUCCUCUGUUUUCUCCGCAAUGUCUCUGGCCCACACAACAGCCAGUCAGCCAACCAGAUUUUCUCUUUUGCCUUUACCCCUGAGUUUGGACAUUAAAAUUACAUCUUAAUUUGCUGUCUGCUUCUGGGUCCUCAAAAUACACCACACGCCACACUUGGUACUUCAUAAUAACACCAUUUAUAAGGCCGUUAUGGUCCUAUGGUCCGAUCUACGCAAUAUAAAGAUCAGAAAGAAAGGGGGUUUCUUGGAACACGGAGGGGAGGGGUGAGUGAAGGGAGGGCAGGCUGUGUUUUUCAAAUCUGUCUCAACAGCCAAACUGGUUUUCAGAUCGUAGACCAAAGCUUCAAACAAGUUUGCAACCUGAUUAGAAAAACAGGUUUGGUUUAAUUUUUUCCCAUUGUAAAUUAGAUUAUAAAUAUUACUGUAGUCAUAGUCAUAGGCAUGGCUGACUUGGCGACAGUGGGGCCCUCAACUGGAGCUUGUUACCUCUUUCUAGGUCCACAAACAGCUAGCUGGAGUCAGCAUUUCCUAUUUGGUAUUCAGAUUGACCUUUUUCUGUGGUUUCCCCCGUCUGCGCCAUCAUUUCUCCUCUCUCUUGUUUUAUAAAAAAAAAGAGAUGAAACAAAAGGGGGGAGUAACUGUUUGUUUGAUUUUUGAAGAGUCAGCAGAGUUUAAGCAGCAAACGAAAGGGUUGUUUUCGGUUUGAACCAGAUUUCCAUUUUUUGGAACACUGACUGUAGCUCUGACUUCGCUUUCUGCUCGUGCUCGGCCUUCUUUUUGAAAUGCAAAUAUCAAACAAGGCAGCAAAAACAGAGCUUAUCGCCAGUGACUGCGUUUUAAUAGGGACUUGAUAAGUCCGCUCAGGCCGGAUAUGAACAGGUGUUUGAAGCUGCCGUCAUUGUGCCGUACUGACAUGAAUCCAGAAAUCCCACUACGCUCCUGUCCGUGACACCUGUGAUGGCUAACAGCGGGGGUCCUCUGCUCAUGUUAUAUCAAUGAGGGAGCUUUUCCUCAAAGAGAGUUUGAGCAGGAGGAGGAGGAGGAGAGAGGCAGAGGGCCUUUUGAAGGGUCUCUGUGCCAAUGCUCUGAAACCAGAAGAAGACACCGUUGAGUUUAAACAACAGCCUGGAUUAAUAAUUGAACAUGAGAGUUAGAGUAACCUUUUUCUCCCCCCUUUCUCCUGCAAACAUUUGAUUCUGACGUCAAAAGCACCAUAAUUUUCUCUCUAAUUUUCCAAUAAGGGGAUGUGAGUUUGCAGCCCUGGAUGUCCAACACAUCAUUUAUUUAUCCCAAACACAUUAAAAUUUCAGCAUGCAUCGUUUUGAAGGGGUCAGAAAAUUAAAAUAAUGAAUCCAAGAGAUCUCCGCUGACAUCUCAGGAAUUCUGGAGUUCAAGUAGUGUUCAUUAAAGGCACUCUAAAAAAUUCUGGACUGACUUCUGAGUUAAUUGGAGGUCCGUCUUUCUCAUUUGGAUGUGGGUAAUUAGCGCUAAACACCUCGAAACAAACCCACGCUAAACUUGUUAAGUCUUCAAAGCUUCCACAGGUGGGUCCAGUCCACAGCAGAACAGAUUCUUACAAACACAUGCACAGUUCAGUAUGUCUCCAGUCAAAUCCCACUGUCUUCAUUUUUGAUCAAAAUUCUAUAAAAGAUGCAGAAAAGUUUACCACACUUAAUUUCUUCAACUUUGCAUCUACUGACCAUCUGAAGCUGAGCAGAGACUCUUCAGACUCACAUUCACAUUCAGCUGUGGAGAUGCUGCUUCAUGAAUAGAAAUGUAAUUUCUACCUUUAAUGCAUUUCCGUCCUCCUGUAUUAAUUUGGCAGCUUUGGGAGACUCUCAGAGAACUCAAUCAGCUCAGGGUGGAGGGCGGCAUGGAGCUGCAUCUGAAUCAGAGACUUUAAAAAGAGCAAAAUAAAUGAAUAAGUAAAUAAAUUUAAAGCCGCAUCUUUUUUUUUUUAAUGGACAUUAGGUCCUUCUGAGGCUCCCAAUCCUGACUCAACAAAUUCAACAGCUUCAAAAUACAACUCUGUAGAUGUGCUGCUAUAAUCAGAUUGUCUGCUGGAGAAAAGAUAUUGUUCUACUGUGAUGUUACACACAGCAGAGGUUGCAUAAUAAAUGUAGCUGUAUAUCCAAAAACUUGAAAAAGUAUUGGCUAUUAUUUGGCAGCUCCAUAACUUAUGGGUCAUGGCUGAUUUUUCCGGUAUAGCAAGAAAAGAUCUAAAUCAAAUCAGGACCAAGACUUCUCUUUUGAGACUUGUCCCUAUUUUAUACUCCAUCUAUCAACUAGAUUCCAGUAGUGAUCCAAAUUUAUGCAGAUAUCAGCGCCAUGAAAAGCCAAACAGAGAACUGAUAGUUCAAAAAUGGACACUUCCUUGCAUAUUGGGAGCGUUUUUUUUCAUGCGAUUAUUUCGGACGUCAAUAUUUUUUUUUUUAACCCGUAUCCUGUCAAUACAAGCGAUCACAUCAGCGACGUUUUCCUGUCCUGCGAUAUUGAGGCAUUUAAUUUUUCGGAUUAUGGACAAUUUUUCUAAAGUUUUGCAUACUGUGUGUCCACUUCUGACCAAUCAGAUUUGUUGUUGUUGUUGUUGUUGUUGUUGUUGUUGUUGUUGUUGUUGUUGUUGUUGUUGUUGUGAUGUCAGAUUCACCGGUAUAUCCAACAUGGCUGACCGGCUGAUUGUUUAUGUAUCAACGGAGUGCUUUUUGAUAAAAAAACACAAAUAUUACAAAGAUAACGACCUGAACGACAACUUGUGGAGAGUCAUAGUGUUGGAUUUCUCAUAUGACGAUGGUUCGUGUGCUUUAACAGUUUGCUAAACAUCUUUGUUUUAACUUUCAUCUGUGCUAAGUAACUUUAGCUCGUAAGCUAACCUGUUCAGAUACAACAUACCAUAUGUAUUUUCGCUGUGCUUUAACGUUUAGCAAACUGUUAAAGCACACAAACCAUUGUUAUAUAAGAGAUCCGACGCUAUGACUCCACAAGUUGUCCUUCAGGUCGUUACCUUUUGUAAUAUUUGUGUCUUUUAUCAAAAAGCACUCUGUUCUCCAACACGUAAACAAUCAGCCGGUCGGCCGUGUUGGAUAUACCGUUGAAUCUGACAUCGCAACAAUACGCAAUCUGGUUGGUCAAAAGUGGACACACAGUAUGCGAAACUUUAGAAAAAUCGACCAUGAUGCAAAAAAAAAAAAUUAUGCAACAUCGCAGGACAGGAAAAUGUCACUGAUUUGAACGCUUGUAUUGACAGGAUACGGGUUCGAAAAAGAUAUAUUGACGUCCGAAAUAAACGCAUGUAAAAAAAAAAAAAUGCUUCCUGUGUGAAAGGACCUUUUUUUUUUUUUUUUUUUAGAGCAUUUCUGAUUUUGCAAGAGUAAGACAUGAUUGUGUAAUGUGUUUGACUUUGCUUUAUUUUACAGACAGUCCACAGUGGUACAGAUGCAGAAUUAACAUCAAAUGCAUCAGUAAACACCAUCAGACACAUUAUGUUAGACUAGAACAAGCAAAUUGAUUUCUGGAGUAUGCACAGUGUGAACACGACCAUGCAAAUGAUCGUCCUCUAAAACUUCCAAACCAGAUCUGAUGGUCUUCUCGGUGUGAUGCUCUUCAGUACCAGCAGCUCCAUAAAAGACGCUGAAGCAGAAUCCAUAGAGCUCUGUGCUGGGAACAAACCUCAGCCCCUCUGCUUUAUAAUCCAGAAUAAUGUGAUGCAGAGCUGAUGCAAAGAUUGCACUGGCUCGUCUUCAAACACACACCUCAGCAGCAUGUCACCGCGUUUUCAUCUCAGAGUGUUCACGGAGUGUUAGCGCUCCAUCACACGCUCACCUGAGCGGAUUAAGAUGCACAGCUUCACACCUCGGCACUGCUGCAGCUUAUCAGGAUCCUCUCUCGCACACUCAAACACACCUGAGCUUUCUAUAUGCAAACAUAAAGAUGCAUCUGAAGACACAGGCAGAGAAAAGACAUCAGAGUUAAUGUUCUUCACCAUAACUGAAAAACCCAUUAUGAACCAUCUCGUGGACAGUCUUUCCGUUGGCUUGUCUUUCUCUGCAACAAAAACCACGACUCCUUCAUGAUACAGACACACUGACUGCUUCUUUAUUGACUCCUGUUAUUACGGGAACAUGUGGGUGAACAGAGGAGUGGUGCACUUUUUCCACAGCACAUUUCAAGGCUUGUUGUCUGAAAUAACUAGAUUGUAGAUGCCCCAAGUGAAUUUUCUCGAAUCAGAAACACUAUGAGAGAUGUUUUGAUAUUGGUGCUGCUGCAUUUAUUGACGAAAAAUUGCUCAGGAGGCUUGAAAGUGUUGUGCUGACCCAAAUAUACAACCUUUUCCCCUUCAAGUAUAGCUGUAAAAGUGGGAUCCUCUUUCGUUCAUGGUCUAGACUUUAGAAUGCACAACAGCAGACAGUCGACGUGCCCAUGUCCAGGACAAAAUGAUCCAAAAGUGAGCAAAGCUAUGAUGCUUUUUUUUAAGAUAAUGGUGAUAAAAGCAGCUGAGACAUUAAACAGCUGCAACUGCACUGAUAUAUGGAGAGACAGAAUGUCAUGUAUGAAGAUGGAGAGAGAAAAGUCAAACCAAAUGUCAUGGUGGAAGCAAAUGUUUCACAUUUUUUUAACACUUGUUUAAAGACGAAUUUGUCCAAUCAAACUUGAGUGUAUAGAGGGUUUGAACUAUCUAAAAGCUUAUUUUUUUAUUUACAAAUACAACUAAAAAGAUAAAUCAGUUGAAAUAGACUCACUAUAAACAUUAUACCAACAUUGAAACUUUACAUUUAAAGGUCCUUUCACACCGGGAACGACGCAAAUAUAUGACGCGAAAUUCCAAAAUAUCCAGAGGUGAAUUUUGACGCGCCUGACUAUACACAUCAAGUGCGAUACGAUUUUGCAACUUUCCAGGAGGAAGAAAGACACGUCCCGGGUGAAAGCGAGAAGACUGACACAACAGCAGACUGACUGUUUUUCAGUUCUGAUUAGACACUAGUGUUGAGAUGUCUGUCUGUCAUGAUAGCAUGUACUGAGUCGGGGCCAGUACCAGAUAAACACAUUAAACUAUAAUCCAUAAACAUAAGGUAACAACCGAGACCUAAUGGUGCUGUGACAGCAACACGAUUGAGUUUGAGACAGUGAAAAUACAUAUGGUAUGUUGUAUCUGAACAGGUUAGCUUACGAGCUAAAGUUACUUAGCAUAGAUGAAAGUUAAAACAAAGACGUUUAGCAAACUGUUAAAGCACACAAACUAUCGUCAUAUGAGAGAUCCGA